GACGUAGGGCGCGAGCGUUGUCCGGAUUUACUGGGCGUAAAGCGCGUGUAGGCGGCUUUGCAAGUCGGAUGUGAAAGCCCACGGCUCAACCGUGGAAGUGCAUCCGAAACUGCAUGGCUCGAGUCUCGGAGAGGAAGGUGGAAUGCUUGGUGUAGUGGUGAAAUGCGUAGAGAUCGGGAGGAACACCCGUGGCGAAGGCGGCCAACUGGGCCGGACCUGACGCUGAGGCGCGAAGGCGUGGGGAGCGAACGGG
rnacentral:rRNA from 1 species